CCUUGGUGCAGCACACAGCACACACCACACACCAGGAGAAGCACUGACUUCCCAAAAUUGAUGUGUGUGAGUGUGGUUGCUGCAUUCAUGACAGAAUGCAACCCCUGCUUGCAUUUUUCUGCACCACCAGUGAAGGCCUUGGCUUACUCUUGUCGUGUCUUGUCAAGAGGGGGCAAGAACACUCCAAACUGGCAUCAGAAUGGAUAUGCAUUAUUGCUGGAGAAUUGCUGGCGUUACCUUGUUUCUCCAGCCAAGCAAAUCACUGUUCCAGUCACUCAUUAGUGCUUGAGGAGCCACCUGAAGAGGUGGACUAGAAGAGAGUAGUGGUGGACCUUCUUACUGCACACUCUGAUUGGUCCACUCACACUGCCUUCAGAAUUAGGGACAGUCCAAAAACAAGGAUAACAAAAAGCCAAAGGAAAAAUAUUGAAGAUCUUGUGUAUGUUUAUUGGAGGCUCACAAGCUUGUCAUGGCAAGGAGAGCAAAGCCAUCACACACACAGGGGAAGAUCUCUACACCAUUGACAGCAUUCUAGCAACAGCAAAGCAUCUUUCACUAGGAGACCAAGUGGGGAUGUUCCACUGGAUAUCCUGACUCACCAGCGUGACAACUCACUCUUCUUCAAAGAAUUAAUUCUACAUUACCCAGAUUCAGAUUCUGCUCCUCUGCCCUCCAAGAGACCCAAGCUUCAAAACUCUCUAUGUUGAGAUGACACACAACAUAGCUUGACUUUAAUUCUUGUUUUGUCAUACUAUUUUAUUUUAUCUUUACCUGUCUAUGGCUCAAAAUGCAAUGGAGAUAAUAUAUGGCCUUGUCUCGUCACCACAAUUAUCAGGCUUCAGUUUUGAGUAUAAGAAAAUAAGAAGAAUGUAAGAGCUGAGUUGAGCUACACAAGACAACUUCAGAGCACUCAAGAACAACUUACCAGCCUAUGUUUUCAUUUGUUAGUGUACUCAGCCUCCUCUUGGGUCCUUCUGACAUCUGUAAAAUGCAAGGUAAAUACACUUGUCGUUGCACUUUCUGGCUUUAUGAAACAUCAAGUUUUU